AAUUUGGAUAAGUUCACUUUAAAUCCUUUAACUAGGAUCCAUGAAAAAUCACAAUACAGGACUCUUUCAAGGCCCUGUAAUUUGGAUGAGUUCACUUUAAAUCCUUUAACGAGGAUCCAUGGGAGGGCAAAUCUGGUGCCAGCAACUUCUGUGAUUCCAGCUCCAAUAGUGUAUAGUAAAGUUGCUACAGUUAAAAACCUCAUAGUUGGGACUAGCAGAUGGUAUAAUGGUUAUGUUGCUGGACUCCCACAUGGCUGACCACAGUUCAAGUUCCAGAGCUAGCAGCUUGAAACUCAUGCCCGGUGUGUGUGCAUGUAUGCCCAAGAGGAAAAUGGAGAAGAGAUUGAGGCAUGGCCAUUUGCCUUCACCUCUGGGGGGUGAUUUCUUGCAUUUUGUCUCUUUGUCUUUCUGGUAAGCUCAUGC
rfam:Tupaia chinensis contig214218, whole genome shotgun sequence.